ensembl:rRNA 5S_rRNA 5S ribosomal RNA
CUAUAGCCAUACCACCUUGAACACGUCUGAUCGUGGAAGCUAAGCAGGGUCUGGCCUGGUUAGUACUUGGAUGAGAGAAAUAACAGGUUGAAUUACAGG